AUAAUCCAAGUUUUGUUAGUAGCUGCUGUGUUUCUGCUGUUUUAUUUUUAACAUAUAAAGAAUAGUAUCCCAGAAGACUCUGGAGCUCCCGAAAGUUGGGCAGGUGUCUUAAUUUACUCAUUAGGAUAAGCUACUAGUUGAGGAAGUUAUUCAAUACCAUUUUCCCAGGAAGAGGCAGCUCAGAGGAUGAAGUGAACACUUUUCAUAUUCUUCUCCAAAAUGUGAGUAGCUGUUCCAAAGACCUAAUGCGCUUGCUGUCCAGCAGUUGACAGCUGCUCAGCAGCAGCAGUAUGCACUGGCAGCUGCUCAUCAGCCGCACAUCGGUUUAGCUCCCGCUGCGUUUGUCCCCAAUCCAUACAUCAUCAGCGCUGCUCCCCCAGGGACGGACCCCUACACAGCUGGAUUGGCUGCAGCAGCGACACUAGGCCCAGCUGUGGUCCCUCACCAGUAUUAUGGAGUUACUCCCUGGGGAGUCUACCCUGCCAGUCUUUUCCAGCAGCAAGCUGCUGCUGCCGCUGCAGCAACUAAUUCAGCUAAUCAACAGACCACCCCACAGGCUCAGCAAGGACAGCAGCAGGU
rnacentral:sRNA from 1 species